CAGGAAACCAUUUAUAAAAACAUGACACCUUCGUACCUAAUGAAGGGGACGUGAUAAGGUCGUACAAAGAUGAAGAGACAAACACCAACAAGCUGUGCCGAUGUCAGCAGAAUGUACCGGUCCCUAUGGAAACACGAAUCCGCUUGAAGUGCGUGAAUUCAAACUGACGCUCUGACAUAGCCUUCAAAAUACUGGGAGUCACUGAUGGAGGGAGAAAACUCUUCAAAAGAAUGCAACUGGUCAUCUAGAACAUCUGGAAGCGAACACAAGACAAAGAAGACAGAUUUACAUCUGACUUACCCAACAGAGCAGUGUUGUCCAUAAGCAUCUUUCCUUUGUCUGCAUGUUCCUCACUGAAGAAAUCACCCAUGAGUAGCAACUUGAUGGCUUCCUGCUUCACACUGUCAAAGAAAUUUGACUGAAUGGGCACGACUGCCUGUAAACACUCUACUUAGAUUGUGACCAUUGAGAGUCCACAUUGCCUUGUAGGACUCCACAAAGCGGUCAACUGUAGACUUUGAGUUCAACCCUAGGCUUUCUAACUGAGUGUGCAGAACCUGGAGUGA